rnacentral:rRNA from 1 species
UACGAAGGGGGCGAGCGUUGUUCGGAUUUACUGGGCGUAAAGGGCGCGUAGGCGGCCCUCCUUGUCGCGGGUGAAAGCCCCGGGCUCAACCUGGGAAUUGCGCGCGAAACGGGGGGGCUUGAGUUCGGGAGAGGAGCGUGGAAUUCCCAGUGUAGAGGUGAAAUUCGUAGAUAUUGGGAAGAACACCGGUGGCGAAGGCGGCGCUCUGGACCGAGACUGACGCUGAGGCGCGAAAGCGUGGGGAGCAAACAGG